rnacentral:misc_RNA from 1 species
GAAUUUAUGCAGUCCUUUUUUGCUGGAUUGGCUGCAUCUGGUGCUCUUACUUCUGCUCUGAGGUUGAUAACAAAGGCAUCUUUCGAGGGUUCUGCCGAUGGACUUCGCAAGGGCGCAAUUCUGUUUUUCGCAAUUUCAGCAUUCGUGGAGCUACUAUGUGUUCUUCUAUAUGCGUUCAUCUUCCCCAAAUUACCGAUUGUUAAGUAUUACCGAUCGAAAGCCGCGUCAGAAGGAGCAAUGACAGUUUCUGCUGACCUUGCUGCUGGUGGCAUCCAUAAU